AGGUCAGUGCCAUAAGCAGUGCUUUAUCCUUAAUUGAGUUUAUUGCGGAUACACUGUAACAUUAAAAAUCAAUGAAAGCACAGUGAACAUUGGGUUUAUACAAAGUCACACAUAAUCAAAGAUCAAUACGGAAACCCUGCCAUAAAAUAAUAACUCAUAUUCUAAUGUGAAUGUAAUAACUUUAAAUAAGGAGUGAUAUCACAUUUCCCUUAUGUCAGUCACACAAAAGACAGGAGCCUCAAACCAGUGGCCAGUGUAGUGGAGUCUGUGAGGUCAUGCUGUGAUGUCAUAAUGGGCCUCAAACCAGAAAGAACCAGUGCUGGCUGGCCUGGUGGGGUCUGUGAGGUCAUGCUGUGAUGUCAUAAUGGUAUCAACUGCCUAUAUCCCGGCUUGGCUGCUGCCUCCCUCAUUCUCCUUCAAUACCUGGAGACACAAAGCUCACCGGCAGGAGUAGAAACAACUGGCAGGAGAAACAUACUUGGCUGAGCGCUAUGGCCCCGAGAUGGAUGAUCACACUGUGGGAGUCGAUAACUGCCUGCUGUCCAUGCAGAAGAUACAGGAGCUGGAAUGCUCAGAGAAGAGAUGCCCACUUGCCUCGCCAUACCAGGCUUGAGGAAGAAAUGCCUCCAACCAAGCCAGUGGGUUAUGAUCACUCUGAUGGCAGUUUAUCCAAAAAACUAUCUCCCAGUGAGAAGAACAAGGAUCGCCAGAUUAAAGUCCUCGAUCUCAUUAACAAACAGUUAGUCGAGGAGAACAACUUGUUAG